AGCGAACGUUAGCGGCGCGCCUAACACAUGCAAGUCGCACGAGAAAGGGCUUCGGCCCCGGUAAAGUGGCGCACGGGUGCGUAACACGUAGGCAAUCUUCCCUUGGGCGGGGGAUAACGUUUCGAAAGAGACGCUAAUACCGCAUGAGACCACGGACGCUUCGGCGACUGCGGUCAAAGCUGGCCUCUUCAUGAAAGCCAGCACCUAAGGACGAGCCUGCGGCCCAUCAGCUAGNGGUAGGGUAAUGGCCUACCAAGGCGAAGACGGGUAGCUGGUCUGAGAGGAUGAUCAGCCACACUGGCACUGAAACACGGGCCAGACUCCUACGGGAGGCAGCAGUGGGAAUAUUGGACAAUGGGCGCAAGCCUGAUCCAGCGACGCCGCGUGAGUGAUGAAGGCC
rnacentral:rRNA from 1 species